rnacentral:rRNA from 1 species
GACGAACGCUGGCGGCGUGCUUAACACAUGCAAGUCGAGCGGUAAGGCCCUUUCGGGGGUACACGAGCGGCGAACGGGUGAGUAACACGUGGGUGACCUGCCCUCAGCUCUGGGAUAAGCCUGGGAAACCGGGUCUAAUACUGGAUAUGACUCCAUGACGCAUGUUGUGGGGUGGAAAGCCUUGUGCGGCUGAGGAUGGGCCCGCGGCCUAUCAGCUUGUUGGUGGGGUGANGGCCUACCAAGGCGACGACGGGUAGCUGGUCUGAGAGGAUGUCCAGCCACACUGGGACUGAGACACGGCCCAGACUCCUACGGGAGGCAGCAGUAGGGAAUCUUGCACAAUGGACGAAAGUCUGAUGCAGCGACGCCGCGUGUGGGAUGAAUGCCUUCGGGUUGUAAACC